UACGUAGGGGGCUAGCGUUGUCCGGAAUCAUUGGGCGUAAAGCGCGUGUAGGCGGCCCGAUAAGUCCGCUGUGAAAGUCCAGGCUCAACCCUGGGAUGCCGGUGGAUACUGUCGGGCUCGAGUCCGGAAGAGGCGAGUGGAAUUCCGUGGGAUGUAGCGGUGAAAGUGACGCAGAUAUACAGGAGGAACACCAAUGGCGAAGGCAGCUCGCUGGGACGUACUGACGCUGAGACGCGAAGCGUG
rnacentral:rRNA from 1 species